AACAAGGCGUACCUGCGGACCUGCGGAGGGAUCAUUACCAAUUCAACGGUGUGGUCGCGGCCUCCGGGGGCUCCCCCCGGGCGGUAGAGGUAACACUCUUACGCGCCACAUGUCUGAAUCCUUUUUUUACGAGCACCUUUCGUUCUCCUUCGGUGGGGCAACCUGCCGUUGGAACUUAUUAAAACCUUUUUUUGCAUCUAGCAUUACCUGUUCAGAUACAAACAAUCGUUACAACUUUCA
rnacentral:misc_RNA from 1 species